AACGAACGCUGGCGGCAUGCCUAACACAUGCAAGUCGAACGAGACCUUCGGGUCUAGUGGCGCACGGGUGCGUAACGCGUGGGGACCUGCCCUUAGGUUCGGAAUAACUCCCCGAAAGGGGUGCUAAUACCGAAUAAUGUCUUCGGACCAAAGAUUUAUCGCCUUUGGAUGGGCCCGCGUUGGAUUAGCUAGUUGGUAGGGUAAAAGCCUACCAAGGCGACGAUCCAUAGCUGGUCUGAGAGGAUGAUCAGCCACACUGGGACUGAGACACGGCCCAGACUCCUACGGGAGGCAGCAGUGGGGAAUAUUGGACAAUGGGCGAAAGCCUGAUCCAGCAAUGCCGCGUGAGUGAUGAAGGCCUUAGGGUUGUAAAGCUCUUUUACCCGGGAUGAUAAUGACAGUACCGGGAGAAUAAGCUCCGGCUAACUCCGUG
rnacentral:rRNA from 1 species